CCAGACUUGACAUGCGAGUGGUAGGAACUCGAAAGAGAACCGACCCGCAAGGGAGCUCGCACAGGUGUUGCACGGCUGUCGUCAGCUCGUGUCGUGAGAUGUUGGGUUAAGUCCCGCAACGAGCGCAACCCUCGGGGUCUGUUGUAUCACUCAGAUCCCACUGCCGAGAGGAACUCGGAGGAAGGUGGGGACGAAGUCAAGUCCGCGUGGCCUUUAUGUCUGGGGCUACACGCACGCUACAAUCGCCGGUCACAGCGGGUCGCGACAACGCAAGUUGAAGCUAAUCCCUUAAAACCGGCGUCAGUUCAGAUCGAAGGCUGCAACCCGCCUUCGUGAAGUCGGAGUUGCUAGUAACCGCGGGUCAGCACACCGCGGUGAAUAUGUUCCC
rnacentral:rRNA from 1 species